AGGUCCUUAAACUACUUCUCCUGUUCUGUUUAGGUCCAUGAACUUUGAAAAUGCAUUUCUAGGUCCAGGAUCUAUUUAAGUGAGCCAUUGGAGGUCCAAAACGCCAUUGACCUGCUCUGACCGGCUACGUGGAUUGCCAAGCUGGCUCUGACGUGGACAUGGCAUCUGACGGAGGCGCAAAAAAUUGCAAGUACACCCUUCCCUUCUAUAGUAAUGUGGGGUGCGGAUCCAUGCCAUGGCUCUCAUCCUCUGUUCUCUCGUGUUCUUCUCCCCCCUCUCUGCGCCUACCUCUGAGGCCCAGAUCCAUGCCAUGGCUCGCGAAUCCAGUGCAUCGGCGUCGGAGCAGUGGGGUGCGGAUGAGCUCCCGCUCAUCCUUUGCACUGAUUGUGGGCUCCGGCAAGUGGUGCGGCGCAGAUCGAAGCAGGAAUGGAGCUUUGGGAAGGUGUUCUACUGCUGCCCGUUGCACAAGCGUGAUGGAAGUGGAUGCCCUUUUUGGUUCUGGGAAGAAGAUUACGUUGUCAAGCUUAGGAGUCUUGGGUUGCUGAAAGGAGGCAGUUCAACGCAGCUGGAAGGCCCUAUUGCAGCCCCAAGGAUGGAGUUUCUGCAUGCUAGAGAAGGAGAAUGGAAGAAGAAGAAUGCCACUGAAAUAGUUAGGUUGCUAAAGUCAAUAUGUGUUGUAUGUGUAUCUAUUCUGUGUGUGCAAUGUGUGAUGCUGUUGCUCUUAGUGUUUAAGAACUAAACAUGGAAUGUAUCGAAGCUAUUAGCAUGUAUGAACUGAGCUUGAAUUGUGAGAACCA